rnacentral:tRNA from 1 species
AUAGCUCAACAGGUAGAGCACAGGGCUUGCAAACCUGAGACUCCUGGUUUAAUCCCUGAU